UUUUUCUAUUUGUGCAAUUUACAUUACUGCAAACUUCCUUAACCUUCUUUUUGCACUCCUACAAAAGCUUUUAAGUUCAAUAUCUUUCUGAAACGGAUUGAAUCGAAACGAAUAUUUUUCGGAAUCAAUGAUUUCUUUCGCUGCACUAAUUCNNNNNNNNNNNNNNNNNNNNUUACUGCAAACUUCCUUAACCUUCUUUUUGCACUCCUACAAAAGCUUUUAAGUUCAAUAUCUUCUGAAACGGAUUGAAUCGAAACGAAUAUUUUUCGGAAUCAAUGAUUCUUUCGCUGCACUAAUUCCCCCCCCCCCCCCCCCUCUCCCCCUAGACAUUUUGACUUAUCACCACCUGAAUAAACUGUCUAUGUCUUUUUGCUGAUGACAAAGGGGGAGAAGUAGACGAAAUCUCUUCAAUUGUGUUUACUUUGAUGUUAUAAUCUUAUGUUGCUUACCUUGAUAUUGAAAUUUUAUGCUGAAAAUUUCUAUGUUAUUGUGAUCUUUUCAAUGCUGAAAAUUUCUGUGAUGUUAUGAUUUCUUUACCAUAAAAAUGAUGCAAUAUCAUAUUAUUAAUAUUGUGAACUUUUGAAUGUCAUAAUACAAUAAUGAUGAUAUUUCAUGCAAGUAGUGAUGAAAGGCUAUGCCGAAACAUUUUAUCAUGCAUGAAGUGAUUGUGAAUUUAAUAUCUUGAUGACUUGAUAUUAUGGUGAUGCACAAUGCAUGUGAUUUCUAAUUUCGAUCAAAGCUUGAAUUAAAGGUUGUGAAUUUAAAUUUGUAUGGCAUAUAGAUAUUGGGAGUUAAGAGUAACACCUUCACCACAAUUGGUUAUCAUCAUAAAAGAAGGGGAGAUUGUUGAAUCUCAAAUUUUGAUGAUGAAAUCAAUUGGUAAAUUGUUUGAUCUAAUCUAUGUGUUGAGAUAAGUGUGCAGGAUUAACUACGAUAGCAGUAAGGCAUAAAGCUGAUGAUGGGCCAGAGUCGAAGAUUCGGAUGAUGUACCAAUUGAUUUACCGGAGAGCUCAUCUGAAGAUCACCGAGAGUUCGUCGGAAGAUCGUCGAGAGUUCGUCGGAAGAUCGCCAAGAGUUCAUCGGGAGUUCGCCGGAAGCAUGUCGGAAGACUCGCCGAGAAGUUCGUUGGAGGAUCGCCGAGAGAAAAAUCGACAUAACGGACUAAUUGCUUGCCUUAAUCAUAGUUAGAAUAUUAAUUGAGUUAGGAUUGGGAGGUGAUCCCACUAACUCGAUUAGGAAUCAAUUGGGCCCUUAACAGAGCUGAAUUGGGCCGGAUUGGACAACCGAUUCAACAUUUGAAACCACGACCGAUGGUGGCCCCACCUGGUGACCCAAUCUCCCAGGUGGUAUGGGCGGUGGUAUUGCCGAUAGUUAAUGCUGUCAGGCGGUGGUACCAUCGGAGCUCGGUCUCCAAGCUCUGUCAAGCGGUCAUACCGGCCAGACUGAGCGGAGGUACCCCCAAGUGUCAAGUGUUAGGCGAUGGUACCGCCAGUACCUUGAAAUUCGGGGAUGUGACACUUUUUUACUCCAAUUUUGAAGUCAUUGGGGCCUAUAAAUACCCCACCAUUUUCUACAUAAAAGGGCAAGUGUUUAACAUAUUAUUGAAUCUCUAGGGUGUUAAGUGUUAUAAAAGUGAGAAAGAGUCCUCCCCUCUCUCUCUUAGCUUUGUAAACAUCCAAGAAAAAGGAGUGAGGCUUAUAAGGGUUAUCUCCUAAACCCGGUAAAAGGAAAAAGAGUUAUAAAAAAGGUAGUUGAUCUUCGCCUAUUGAAUGAAGGCCAUUAGUGGACGUCGAUGACCUCGACGGAGGAGGAAUCGAAAGUGGACGUAGGUUACAACUACCGAAUCACUCUAAAUUCUGGUUUGCUUUUCUAUUUAUGCAAUUUACAUUACUGCAAACUUCCUAAACCUUCUCUUUGCACUCUUACGAAAGCUUUCAAGUUCAAUAUCUUUCUGAAACGGAUUAAAUCGAAACGAAUAUUUUUCGGAAUCAAUGAUUUCAAAUAGGUCAUGACACACGAAAACUAGGUCAUUCCGAGGUAGUUUUGCUCAUUCUUGUGAGCGAUCGCUCUAUAGCCUUACAUAUUAUUCGUGCUCAUAGUUUUCAAGCAAAAACACAAAAACAAAGCAAAACAUGUUGCCAAACAUAUGUAUAAGCAAACAAAAAGCGACGAAUGGUCCUUUGACGAAGGUGUUGCAGGUACAUGACGAUCGUCUGUGACACAUUGAAGCAAACUAUUCAUGCUCACAGUUUUCAAGCAAAAACACACAAAAACAAGACAAAACAUGUUGUCAAACAUAUAAAUAAGUAAACAAAAAGCGACGAAUGGUCCGUUGACGAAGGUGUUACGGGUACGUGACGAUCGUCCGUGACACAUUGAAGUAACUUUUCUCUUCAUGCCCUUCCCUUCGAAGGUUUUGGAGAACUUGGACUACUCUGUCUUGCUGAACAAACUAUGCAUUGUACCACCAUUAUGAACGCACUUGCUAGAUUAUGACUCUUCGUCAAUACAGUCUCACUGCACUUUUCAAGGCCUAGCAACAUAUUGAACUUACUGCAUACUUCAACCUCCUACGAACGAUCCUUCUCAUGUUGAAGAUAAAGUUUUCAUACUCUAUGGCACCGAGUUGCGGUCAGUUUGGGAUGUCUACGGACAGUCUAUCGUCUACAUACAAGCCCUUGCAUAAUUAUUAAAUUCUUUAAGUUCGCAAUUCCCCUCA
rnacentral:lncRNA from 1 species